ACUUUAUACUGUGAAACUGCGAAUGGCUCAUUAAAUCAGUUAUCGUUUAUUUGAUAGUACCUUACUACAUGGAUACCUGUGGUAAUUCUAGAGCUAAUACAUGCUGAAAACCUCGACUUCGGAAGGGGUGUAUUUAUUAGAUAAAAAACCAAUGCCCUUCGGGGCUCCUUGGUGAAUCAUAAUAACUUAACGAAUCGCAUGGCCUUGCGCCGGCGAUGGUUCAUUCAAAUUUCUGCCCUAUCAACUUUCGAUGGUAGGAUAGUGGCCUACCAUGGUGGCAACGGGUAACGGGGAAUUAGGGUUCGAUUCCGGAGAGGGAGCCUGAGAAACGGCUACCACAUCCAAGGAAGGCAGCAGGCGCGCAAAUUACCCAAUCCCGACACGGGGAGGUAGUGACAAUAAAUACUGAUACGGGGCUCUUUUGGGUCUCGUAAUUGGAAUGAGUACAAUCUAAAUCCCUUAACGAGGAACAAUUGGAGGGCAAGUCUGGUGCCAGCAGCCGCGGUAAUUCCAGCUCCAAUAGCGUAUAUUAAAGUUGUUGCAGUUAAAAAGCUCGUAGUUGAACCUUGGGUCUGGCUGGCCGGUCCGCCUCACCGCGAGUACUGGUCCGGCUGGACCUUUCCUUCUGGGGAAUCUCAUGGCCUUCACUGGCUGUGGGGGGAACCAGGACUUUUACUGUGAAAAAAUUAGAGUGUUCAAAGCAGGCCUUUGCUCGAAUACAUUAGCAUGGAAUAAUAGAAUAGGACGUGCGGUUCUAUUUUGUUGGUUUCUAGGACCGCCGUAAUGAUUAAUAGGGAUAGUCGGGGGGCGUCAGUAUUCAGCUGUCAGAGGUGAAAUUCUUGGAUUUGCUGAAGACUAACUACUGCGAAAGCAUUCGCCAAGGAUGUUUUCAUUAAUCAGGGAACGAAAGUUAGGGGAUCGAAGACGAUCAGAUACCGUCGUAGUCUUAACCAUAAACUAUGCCGACUAGGGAUCGGACGGUGUUUCUAUUAUGACCCGUUCGGCACCUUACGAGAAAUCAAAGUUUUUGGGUUCUGGGGGGAGUAUGGUCGCAAAGCUGAAACUUAAAGAAAUUGACGGAAGGGCACCACCAGGCGUGGAGCCUGCGGCUUAAUUUGACUCAACACGGGGAAACUCACCAGGUCCAGACAAAAUAAGGAUUGACAGAUUGAGAGCUCUUUCUUGAUCUUUUGGAUGGUGGUGCAUGGCCGUUCUUAGUUGGUGGAGUGAUUUGUCUGCUUAAUUGCGAUAACGAACGAGACCUCGGCCCUUAAAUAGCCCGGUCCGCAUUUGCGGGCCGCUGGCUCUUAGGGGACUAUCGGCUCAAAGCCAAAAAAUC
rnacentral:rRNA from 1 species